rnacentral:rRNA from 1 species
CUUUUGUAUAAUGGGUCAGCGACUUAUAUUCUGUAGCAAGGUUAACCGAAUAGGGGAGCCGGAGGGAAACCGAGUCUUAACCGGGCGUUAAGUUGCAGGGUAUAGACCCGAAACCCGGUGAUCUAGCCAUGGGCAGGUUGAAGGUUGGGUAACACUAACUGGAGGACCGAACCGACUAAUGUUGAAAAAUUAGCGGAUGACCUGUGGCUGGGGGUGAAAGGCCAAUCAAACCGGGAGAUAGCUGGUUCUCCCCGAAAGCUAUUUAGGUAGCGCCUCGUGAAUUCAUCUCCGGGGGUAGAGCACUGUUUCGGCUAGGGGGCCAUCCCGGCUUACCAACCCGAUGCAAACUGCGAAUACCGGAGAAUGUUAUCACGGGAGACACACGGCGGGUGCUAACGUCCGUCGUGAAGAGGGAAACAACCCAGACCGCCAGCUAAGGUCCCAAAGUCAUGGUUAAGUGGGAAACGAUGUGGGAAGGCCCAGACAGCCAGGAUGUUGGCUUAGAAGCAGCCAUCAUUUAAAGAAAGCGUAAUAGCUCACUGGUCGAGUCGGCCUGCGCGGAAGAUGUAACGGGGCUAAACCAUGCACCGAAGCUGCGGCAGCGACACUGUGUGUUG